rnacentral:rRNA from 1 species
GAUGAACGCUAGCGGCAGGCCUAAUACAUGCAAGUCGGACGGGAUUGAGGAGCUUGCUCUUCAUGAGAGUGGCGCACGGGUGCGUAACACGUAUGUAACCUACCUUGUUCAGGGGGAUAGCCUCUCGAAAGAGAGAUUAAGACCGCAUAACAUAUUGAAGUGGCAUCACUUUAUUAUCAAAUAUUUAUAGGAACAAGAUGGGCAUGCGGAACAUUAGCUAGUUGGUGAGGUAACGGCUCACCAAGGCGACGAUGUUUAGGGGAUCUGAGAGGAUGGCCCCCCACCCUGGUACUGAGACACGGACCAGACUCCUACGGGAGGCAGCAGUAAGGAAUAUUGGUCAAUGGACGGAAGUCUGAACCAGCCAGGCCGCGUGCAGGAAGACGGCCCUAUGGGUUGUAAACUGCUUUUGCAGGGGAAUAACCCUCUUUACGUGUAGAGAGCUGAAUGUACUCUGAGAAUAAGGAUCGGCUAACUCCGUGCCAGCAGCCGCCGUAA